rnacentral:lncRNA from 1 species
AAAUUAACUUUAUUCAUUUCAAUUUGCAUAUUAAGAUAACAUAUAGCACCAUAUUACAAAAUGCAUAUCACAAAAAUAUAAUAGAUAUAUCUAUAAUCCUCGAUUAAUGGAUACAUGUAUCCAAUAAGAGGUAAUUAUUUAGCUAUAAAUAUAGAUAUUAUAAUAAUAUUCUCACACUCACAUUAUAUAAUAUAUAAUAAAACACAAGCCAUGGUGUCACAAUCUCAUUCAUGAUCAUGGCUGGCUUUUAGUUGGUGGAGUUAAAGAAUUUGUAGGAAAGCAAUCUGCUUUGUAGAUAUCACAAAAUAAGGGUGGAUCAAUAUUGAGCUCACAAAGUUUUUUCAACUCUUCACAAGAUAUCUGAGGAGGCACAAUUGGAGAUUGAGUUUGAGUAUCGUAAACAAGAUAAUGAUCUUUCUCUAUUUCAUCACCAUAAGCACAAUUGCCAUUCAGAAUUAAUGCCACAACAAGAACAACUACAACAAAUGAAGUAGUGAUGGUUUUUGCCAUAGUGUAUUAAAAUGAUAUUACACUUUUUUUAAUUUGUUUUUCUCUUAUUUCUUGGGAUGAAUUGGUUCCUUAAUCGCUCCAAUUUAUAGAGCUAAUGUUUUGCAUAAAUAACAAGUGAAUUUAAUACGGCUUUGCGUGAGGAAAAUAAUUUUCUUAAAAUUGAAGACCGAGGUGGAACCAUUAAUUAGUAUUAAGUAUUUUUAAUGUGUUGUUUCCUUUUAUGAUUAUUAUUUAAUUAAGGUUGAUUGACUAGCUUAUUAAUAGGAGUGAAUGACAUAGUGGAAAUUUUAUGUUGGUUGUGAGAAUUAUACUAUAUCAAGCUCAAAAAGCUUUGUGGUAAUUAAUUGAUAUUGGUGGUUGAAAACUAAUUUGCUUUCUAAUUAGGAACUAAUUGAACCAACUCUAGUUCAACCGUAGUUCGACUAGACUAGAAGUAUAGAUGUGAAUAGGAACCAUGAGUUAGCCCAAAUUAAUUGUAAAAAAAAUAAAAUUGAAACAACACUUAUUCAGUAAAUACCUUAUAAAAAUGAAAAUAAAUUAAAUUACUUAAAUUAAUUUUAACAAAAUAUCUCAUAUAUUUCAUGUUGAAACUUUUAUAAAAUUAUUAUCCAAAGUAAUUUACAUUAUUGUAAAAUUUCUUCAUCAAAACACAAUUUUACUAAUUCUAUAUAUCUUUAGGAGUUGUUUAAUUAUCUAUCUCAAAUUUCAGAAAUAUAUUGGAUUCUCCUUUAAAUUGGAGUGAAAUAUAUUACUGAAAUCGUAAGGUUAUAUUCAUUACAUGAUAAAUUUGUUAUUGACUUAUUUUUUCUCUUUUAAUUUAUUUAUUAUUGUCUGAUUCAAUUAUGAUUUAAUCUGUAGAAUCAAUUAAAUCGCAAUUCAAAAACUACGUCAAUUUGAUAUUAGAUUCAGUUUUUAAAACAUUGUCUUGCAUUUUUACCAGAAAAAAGUAAAACUGCAAUGUGUAGUGAAAAAUUUCAAUAGGGCAAAUGAAGCACAUGGAAUUAGACAAUUACAAAACAAUUUAAUUAUAAUUAUCAUUCUUUGUAGGAAGAAAUCUUGGAUGGUAUAACUUUCUAUAAUGUCCCAAAAAUAUAUUUGAAAAAAUUCAUAUACCUCUUUAAUUAUGUGUUUUGCUAGGUUUCCUUAGUUUAGAGAAAGUAUUUUCUUUAUGUUCUAUAUUUUGGUAUUAAUUUUUAAAAAGAUUAUACAUACUUUUGUUUAUGCGAUUAAAAUAUUACAUAUUAUUGAUAUCUAUUCCAUGUGAUUUUAUGUUAUUUAUAUUGACAUAAGUUAACACUUUUAUUGAUGGGAUGGGGUGGUAGUUAAGAUUUAAUUGCAUUUUGGGUUAGUGACACAUGGAACAUAAAGAAAAUAAAUAAUAUGAUAUUUCCAGAUUGCAAUAAAAAUAAAUAAAUAAAUAAUAUUGAGAUGCAUGUCUAAAGAAAUUUUGAUAUGAUUAUUUUGAUAUGUAGGUUAAGUGAAAGAUUGUUAAAAUAUUUUCCAAAAAUUUAUAUGCGAUAAUAUUUUAUAAUAACAAUAUUGAUAAAAUUGUUUAAUUUCACAUGGUUGAAAACAAAGUGAGCUCGUUAAACAUCUAAAAUAAAUAAAUAAGUUGAUAUGAGCUUUUGUAUAUAUAUGAGUGAACAAUGUUGGCCCAUUAGACAAUAAUUACACCUUUGUAUUCCGAAAUAUAAACAAAUACACAUUAAACUCUUUAAUGUUCUCCUAUUGUAAGUGUAGACCAAGAUCUUCAAUACACUUAAUCACCAUAACUCUUUAAUGUUCUCCUAUUGUAAAGGAGUAGGGGAUUAUUUAUUUCUCAAAAGAAAUUAAGAACGUAAUUACACAAUUUUGUAAUAAUGAUAAAUAAUGAGACCGUAUUUUAUUUUUAUUUUUUUGCAAUGGAGUAUAAAUUUUAUUCAUUUGUUAAAAGAAAUAUAAAUUUCAAUUGCUAAUGUUAGGGGGUGUUUGUUUGAAGUCUAAAAAUCACAUUCCCAAUCCCAAGAAUACAUGGAAUGAAAAUGAGUAUUAUUUAUUAGAAGGUUGAGAGAAAAAAUAUUAUUCCAAAACAUAAAAAUUUCUAGGAUAUAGAGAUAACUUUCUUAAUUCCCAUGGAAUUUUAUAUAAUAAUUUUUAAAAAAUAAAAUCUUAUAACUAUCAAUUUUUCGAAGAAGGUAAUUUAAUUGUAGGCCAAACACAUGCUUAAUAAAUUAUCCAUGAAUCAAAUAUUAAUCCUUAUAUUCCCAAAUAAAUUUAUUAGAAUAAUUUUUUAGUUUGCGAAACAAACACCAAGGCCCAUAAUUUUUGAAUGGUGACAUAAUCAAACACUUAUAUAUACUCAAAAUUUUAAUAAUGAAAUUCUCCAUUUCAUUUUAAAAAUGACAGAUAAUUUCUGUUAUUGAAAAAAAUUGUUUCCUCUACAUAAUUGAUGGGAAAAAUACACAAGUACAAAGAUAAAAUUUAUUUAUUUUAUAUAAUGUUGAUAUACAUCACCAUAACACAUUAAUAUAUCACCAUGUAGAUUACAAAAUCCAUAUCACAAAAAUAUAAUAUAUCUAUAUUCCUCGAUUCAUGGAUCGACAUAUUCAAUAAGAGGCCCCACCUAUGAAGAUAAUUUAUUUAGCCAUAUAUAUAAUUUUUAUAUUAUAAGAACACUCACACUCACACAACAUUAUGUAAUAGAUGAAUAUGUGAAUAAUACACUAUUCAUGAUCAAGGAUGGAUUUGAGGUUGUGGAGCUUCACUAGGAAGGCAAUUCUUUUGGUAGAGAGGACAAUAAUAGGCAGGAUCAACUGUCAAACAAAACUUAUACCAAAUCAAACAUUCAAAAAACGAUAUUGUCUUUUGAGAUUUGUAAAUGGAAUCAUCUUUCUCUUUUCUAGCACCAUCCACACUAUAGCCAUUCAUCAUCAUAAUUGCCACAACAACAACAACUAUAAAAAAUGAAGCAGUGAUGAUUUUUGCCAUAGUAUUUCAAUUAGAAGAAGAUUAUAUAUGCUUCUUGUGUUUUUCUAUUAUUUAAUUUAAUUGCAUGGGAUGAAUAUUUGGUUCCAAAAUCUUUCCAAUUUAUAGGACCAAUGUUUUCUUUAAAUGACAAGCUUAUGAAUUCAAUUCGACUUUGCGUGAGGAUAAUGAUUUUCUUAAAAUUGAACACCAUGUGGAAAGCAUUGGUAUUAAAUUUUGAGCAGCACAUUUUUUAAUAUACACAUUUUAAUAUGUUAUUUUUUUAUGUUUAAAUGUAAUUUUUAGUUAUUUUAUUUUUAUCAAUUUACAAAUUAGGUCCUUUUAUUUUAAAAUCUGAUAAAUUUUAUCUUUCAUUAUAAUUUUUUAACUAAAAAAUAACGAUAUAAUAUGUUUUAAAUGAUAUGACAAAUGAUACGAUAAGGUAAAAUGAUCGAUAGUCAUAAAAUUGCAAUAAAAUUCAAUAAAAAUAUCAUUUUCAACUUCAGAAAUUGUUCAUUUUUGUAACUUAAUUAAUAUCAUAUGAAUAGUUAGUAUAUCUAAAUUAUUCUAUAUCAUUAAAUCAUAUGUUACAUAAUUUAAAUAUAUCAAAUUAUCAUUUCUUAGUUCAAAAUUCUAAAGGAGAGAUCAAAAUUGUCGACUUUUAAAAUAUAGAGACUAAUUUCCAUGAAUUUGUGAAAAUAAAAAGACUAAAAUUACAAGUAAACCUAUUUUUUAUUGGUUGAAAUUAACAUGAUCUAAUUAAAUUUUGUAGAUUAAAAUUUAUGGGAAUUCAUAUGAAUUUUAAUCAAUAAAAUAAAUAUAUUAAAAAAUGUAAAAAAAUGUGAUGUUAUCGUUAUUAAUUUUUGUCAGGUAUGAUUUCCUUUUAUGAUUGUUGUUUAAGGUAUGAUCGACUAGCUUAUUAAUAGAAGGAAAAAAUGACAUAGGGGAAAUUUGCCGUUGGUGGUGGGAAUAUAUAUCAAGCUCAAAGAGCUUUGUGGUAAUAAUUAAUUGAUAUUGGUAGUUGAAUACUAAUUUGCUUUCUAAUUAAGGUGAAGUUAUUGCAUUGUAGAAAAUACUUUGGGUAUGAUUGCUGGAAUUUGUAAAUGAUAUAUAUAUAUAUAUAUAUAUAUAUAUAUAUAUAUAUAUAUAUAUAUAUAUAUAUAUUUAAUGAAAUGUUAAACACCACUAAUAAAUUUAUAUACAAAAUAAAGAUUUUAAAUUCAAAUCAAGAUCACUAUAGAAAAUGUACAAUAAAUUUAAAAGUUUGAAAACUCAUUUUACUUAUAUGAAAUUGAUUUGUAAACUCAACUUGUAAACUCGUACUAGUUUACUUAGUAUAAAAGUAAUAGAAAAACAAUGUGAUUAAUCCAAUUAAGCCCAAAGUAAAAGCAAAUCAAUUAUCGUUUUGUAGUCAAUGUGGAUGAAGGUCUCUAAAAGAAGAUGAAAAAGUAAAUGAGAAAGGAGUAUUGAUAGAAAGAAGCAUAUAUAUUAUUUAAAAUGAUACUUUUAAUUUAAACUAUUUAUUUUAAUCUAACAGUUGAUAAGUGUUCAUAUCAUUGUUAUAAAAAAAAACAUUAAAUAUAUAAACAUUAAAUGUCUCAUAUAAUUAAGGUAGAUGAAAACCGUAUGAGGGGAUUGGUGUGUGAAAUAGGAUUAAUGUUGACUUGUUGAUUUUUUUAUAGAAGUAUUAUAAAUAAAAAAUAAUUAAGUCAAAUGAUGCUAUAGAAUAACAAAUGCAAGCAAAUCGGAAAACACGCGUAGUAUCCUUAUAAUUUUUAAAAUAUUAAUUAAAGAUUUGACUAUCUUUAUAUUUAAAAUGGUCUGAUUGAUAUCAUUUUAAUAAAUUGAAAUUUUUUUAAGAAAAAUUAAUUUUUUCUUUAUUUUUUUUAAACAAAUUUUGAUCAAAUCAUUGUCUCAAUAACAUAGAUCAAAAAGACAAUUAUAAGAAGUAUCGUUGACAUUCACUAAAAUUUUGAGUAAUUUGUAAAUAUUCAUCAACGGUAAAUCAUCUACCGUAGUAUUCCCCAAUCAAAUUCAUGCUUUAACAUUCAUGAACUUUUCCUUCCAUUUAGCUAAUAAAAAUAGAUUGAACAACUCAACAUCCUUUAUAGUGGAAAAUUAAUAAUUCGACAUCUACUUUAUGUUUAUUGAUAAUUGGACAUAUAAUUCAUACAAUCAGAGUUUAAUAGUAAUUUUUUUAUUAAUAAUAAUUAUGAAUCUAUAAUUGAUUAGUUAAUCAGUCAAAUAUAAGUAAAUAUUUUCAAAAAACUCAAUAUCAUAGAACUUGAUUUUGAUUAAACUUUUAAAAUAUAUCUAAUAACUUUUAUUUCUUCAAAUAAAAUUUAACAAAAAAAUUACGAGAACUAUCAUAUUUUAGAUAAAUUUCAAUAUAUUUGAAAGUUUAAUUUCAAGUUAUUAUCAAAUAAAGAUUUAAUCUUUUCAAUGCUAACCAAAAAUAUAAACAUAUGAACGUAUAAGUUAUAUUACUGAAAUCUUUUUAUUUUGUUAGUCGAUUGAUUGAUCUAUAAUAUAUAAAAAUAACAUAAAUAUUCACCGGGGUACUCAAUAUUUGUUGUGUGCUUUCCUAUGGAUGCUUAUAAGUGUUUUUCCUAUGAAUUUGAGAUUUUUGAACAAUCAAACAUUCAAUCUACAUUUAUUGGCAUGUUUUAUCAACACCUACAAUAGCAUUUUCAAAUACACACUCUCUAUAUAUUUUCAAUUUAUGUAAUCAAAUAUUUUAUUAGUUAUAUAGCUACAUCAAUAUACAUAUUAUUUUUACAUAAACUUUUGCUAAAAGACUCCUCAACGAACUCAAAAUUUUAUACAAAAUCAAUCUAAACAAGGAUCAAAUAUUACAAUUAUUAUAAUAUAUAUAGAAAAAUAAUGAGACAAAAGGAUGAAAGAAAUUAUUGAUUGAUUAACAUAGACAUAAUUAUAAGAGUUUUCGAGGAUGGUGAUCAAAUAGGGCAAAUGGCAUGGAACCUUUAAGGGACUAGUUUCGUUUUUUUUUUUCUUUAUUUCUUAUAAUAGAGGGCAAAAAGGCUAGAUAGAGUUAAAAAAAUUAUUAGGUAUUAAAGAGAAAAAGAGAUUACUAGAAUUAGAUAUAAUUAAUUAGAAUAUGUUUACCUCAAAUUCUUUCAUAUGAUUCUUUUUUGUUAUUUAGUUUAAAUAUUUUUAACUUUAUUACACACUAUUUUUUUUAUUAAAAAAAAAGCAUAUAAUUCAUGUUUUUCCAUUUUUUUUUCCUAAAAAUGGUUAUAACUCAUACGACAUUUAAGUAUUAUUAAUAUUAAUUACAGAAAAGGAUAAAACAAAAUCAUAAUGAAAUUAAAUAUAUCAUUCGGUAAAUAAAAAAUAUUAGGUACAUCAAUUAUUAUGUUUUGUAUUAUUUUUAAAUCAUAACAUUAUAAUUUAUAGGCAUAAUUGCUAAUGCGGUCCUUUAACUUAAUUUCAGAUAAUACUUUCAUCCUUUAUCUUUGUUUCCUCUUUUCGAUUUGGUCCUUUAUUUAAUUUUAAGUAUACAAUUUGAUAUUUUAUAUUUUACAAUAUUAAUAAUGUUAUCUUUUUUUUAUAAAAAUUCAUUAAAAUUUUCAAACAAAACUCAUAAAAUUAGUUAUCAUCAUCAAUAUAACGUAAAUUUCAUUAAAUUUAUAAUUUAAAUAUUCAAAUAAAUUCAUAUUUUCAUUCUUUAUAUUUUCAAAUUUUUUACUGUUUAAUUAAGUGUAUUGAUGUGGUGUUGGUCAGAUUUAAUUGCAUUUUAUAACAAUAAAAUAUUAACAUAAGAUUUUCUUUAAAGAAGAGAUUAAAAUUUAUAAUAUUAUAUAAAUUUAAAAGUAGUAAAAUUUAGUAGCGGAUCGGGUUCAGGGACUAUGACGGGACAAAUCAAGAAUUCUAAGAUCAUCCAUCUCUAAAUUUUUAUUUUAAGAAAAAUGUUCACCUAUAUUCCAUCAAAACAAAGUUUCUGUUCAAAAUCGAGACAAGUCCAAAUAAAUAUUGAUAAUGCAUGUUGUGUUCUCACGCUACAUAGAUUUUCUUAUGUCACACUAUGUAAAGCUAAAUAAGAAUUGUUGUGCAAGAGAUAGGGAAAAAUACAAGAAAGUAUAUAAAUUAACUCUAUUUAUUUCAAUUGCAUAUUACCAUAACAUAUAGCACCAUAUUACAAAAUGCAUAUCACAAAAAUAUAAUAGAUAUAUCUAUAAUCCUCGAUUAAUGGAUACAUGUAUCCAAUAAGAGGUAAUUAUUUAGCUAUAAAUAUAGAUAUUAUAAUAAUAUUCUCACACUCACAUUAUAUAAUAUAUAAUAAAACACAAGCCAUGGUGUAACAAUCUCAUUCAUGAUCAUGGAUUGCUUUUAGUUGUUGGAGUAAAAGAAUUAGUAGGAAGGCAAUACGCUUUGUAGAUAUCACAAAAUAAGGGUGGAUCAAUAUUGAGCUCACAAAGUUUUUUCAACUCUGCACAAGAUAUCUGAGAAGGCACAAAUGGAGAUUGAAUUUGAAUAUCGUUCUCUAUUUCACCACCAUAAGCACAAUUGCUAUUUAGAAUUAAUGCCACAACAAGAACAACUAGAACAAAUGAAGUAGUGAUGGUUUUUGCCAUAGUGUAUUAAAAUGAUAUUGCACUUGUUUUAAUUUGUUUUUCUCUUAUUUCUUGGGAUGAAUUGGUUCCUUAAUCACUCCAAUUUAUA